rnacentral:rRNA from 1 species
AGUCGAGCGGCAGCACAAGGGAGUUUACUCCUGAGGUGGCGAGCGGCGGACGGGUGAGUAAUGCCUAGGGAUCUGCCCAGUCGAGGGGGAUAACAGUUGGAAACGACUGCUAAUACCGCAUACGCCCUACGGGGGAAAGGAGGGGACCUUCGGGCCUUCCGCGAUUGGAUGAACCUAGGUGGGAUUAGCUAGUUGGUGAGGUAAUGGCUCACCAAGGCGACGAUCCCUAGCUGUUCUGAGAGGAUGAUCAGCCACACUGGGACUGAGACACGGCCCAGACUCCUACGGGAGGCAGCAGUGGGGAAUAUUGCACAAUGGGGGAAACCCUGAUGCAGCCAUGCCGCGUGUGUGAAGAAGGCCUUCGGGUUGUAAAGCACUUUCAGUAGGGAGGAAAGGGUGUAGUUUAAUACGCUAUAUCUGUGACGUUACCUACAGAAGAAGGACCGGCUAACUCCGUGCCAGCAGCCGCGGUAAUACGGAGGGUCCGAGCGUUAAUCGGAAUUACUGGGCGUAAAGCGUGCGCAGGCGGUUUGUUAAGCGAGAUGUGAAAGCCCUGGGCUCAACCUAGGAAUAGCAUUUCGAACUGGCGAACUAGAGUCUUGUAGAGGGGGGUAGAAUUCCAGGUGUAGCGGUGAAAUGCGUAGAGAUCUGGAGGAAUACCGGUGGCGAAGGCGGCCCCCUGGACAAAGACUGACGCUCAUGCACGAAAGCGUGGGGAGCAAACAGGA